GGGGCUGUGGCUCAGGGGUAGUGCACUUGCCUGGCAUAUGUGAGACACUGGGUUUGAAUCUCAGCAGCACCU
rfam:Ictidomys tridecemlineatus contig029824, whole genome shotgun sequence.